CUGUCCUCCAUUCCAGGGUUCCUAUAUGAGUUCAUUCUCCACCUUGGGUUAUCAUGGACUCCAGUUCACCCCAGGGACCACAGGAGGAGACGCAGGAUUUAAGGCAAGAGGGAUCACAGGGAAGGUCUUCAAGCCAAAACUGUAAACAAACAGGACAGUUC